UUUCCCCAUCUAACACCAGUAUCUUCUGCUGCAGUGAAGCACUCUGGCUUAAAGGGGAUAGAGUAUUGGGCUCUCUUCCCUCCUCAGUGGACACCUGUGUUCCACUUGGGGCCUAAAGAGAAGCCAACAGG